ensembl:misc_RNA Y_RNA Y RNA
GGCUGGAAUGCAGUGGUGCAACCAAUUAGAGAUUUCCUUGUUCCUUUUCUACUCCCACUGCUUUGACUAGCCUUAA